UCUGGGGAGGCUGAUAUGAUUUCUGCUGAAUCCAUCUGACUUAAAUCAUGAGAGAUUACCCCACUAAAAUCUCCUCGGUGAAUGACGUCAAAAAAAAAAAAGCUCCCCGGGGGGAUCAAUAAUAUCUAUUCUUCAUGUUGACUGGAUUAUUCCACAGAGAUGUCCUGCAAAUGCUUUUCAACAAGGAACUGCCCCAACAUGUGCUCAAGCUAGCUCCCCUCCGACCAAUCCACCUUCAUCUGAUCAAAACAGGUCUAACUGUUGUCAUGGAGCGACUGCAGACACACAAAGCAUCAAAAGUUACUGGACAUAAUGACUUGGUCUUACGUUAUUCACAGGCGGGGUU